rnacentral:rRNA from 1 species
GUGUAUUAGAUACCCGGGUAGUCCACGCCGUAAACGAUGGAUACUCGCUGCCGGCGAUACAAUGUCGGUGGCUUAGCGAAAGCGUUAAGUAUCCCACCUGGGGAGUACGCCCGCAAGGGUGAAACUCAAAAGAAUUGACGGGGGCCCGCACAAGUGGUGGAGCAUGUGGUUUAAUUCGAUGAUACGCGAGGAACCUUACCUAGGCUAGAAUGCGCGUGACCGCCUCAGAGAUGAGGCUUUCCUUCGGGACACAAAGCAAGGUGCUGCACGGUCGUCGCCAACU